rnacentral:rRNA from 1 species
UACGUAGGGUGCAAGCGUUAAUCGGAAUUACUGGGCGUAAAGCGUGCGCAGGCGGUUAUGCAAGACAGAUGUGAAAUCCCCGGGCUUAACCUGGGAACUGCAUUUGUGACUGCAUGGCUGGAGUGCGGCAGAGGGGGAUGGAAUUCCGCGUGUAGCAGUGAAAUGCGUAGAUAUGCGGAGGAACACCGAUGGCGAAGGCAAUCCCCUGGGCCUGCACUGACGCUCAUGCACGAAAGCGUGGGGAGCAAACAAG